UACGGAGGGUGCGAGCGUUGUUCGGAAUUACUGGGCGUAAAGCGCGUGUAGGCGGUCGAGCCAGUCCGAUGUGAAAGCCUUCCGCUUAACGGAAGAAGUGCAUUGGAAACUACUCGGCUGGAGUUCGGGAGAGGAGAGUGGAAUUCCUGGUGUAGAGGUGAAAUUCGUAGAUAUCAGGAGGAACACCGGUGGCGAAGGCGGCUCUCUGGCCCGGUACUGACGCUGAGACGCGAAAGCGUGGGGAG
rnacentral:rRNA from 1 species